GACGAACGCUGGCGGCGUGCUUAACACAUGCAAGUCGAACGGAAAGGCCUCUUUCGGGGGGUACUCGAGUGGCGAACGGGUGAGUAACACGUGAGUAACCUGCCCUUGACUUUGGGAUAACUUCAGGAAACUGGGGCUAAUACCGGAUAGGAGCUCCUGCUGCAUGGUGGGGGUUGGAAAGUUUCGGCGGUUGGGGAUGGACUCGCGGCUUAUCAGCUUGUUGGUGGGGUAGUGGCUUACCAAGGCUUUGACGGGUAGCCGGCCUGGGAGGGUGACCGGCCACAUUGGGACUGAGAGACGACCCAGACUCCUACGGGAGGCAGCAGUGGGGAAUAUUGCACAAUGGGUGGAAGCCUGAUGCAGCAACGCCGUGUGCGGGAUGACGGCCUUCGGGUUGGAAACCGCUUUCGCUCAUGACGAAGCUUUGUGUGACGGUAGUGGGUAAAGAAGCACCGGCUAACUACGUG
rnacentral:rRNA from 1 species